rnacentral:pre_miRNA from 1 species
UGAAAUUUUGUAUGGAGUUGGAACGUUUGCCUACGUUAGCCGCUAGGGGCGCUGUUCCAACUGCAUAGAGUUA